rfam:Xenorhabdus nematophila ATCC 19061 chromosome, complete genome
UUCAAUGGCGGUUCAGACUGGGGAGGCUUCGGCCUCGCCGGUUGGGUAUUUUCCGGUAGUGCAAACCCUGUCUGGAUCGCCACCAUC